GCAAACUUGGUCAUUUAGAGGAAGUAAAAGUCGUAACAAGGUUUCCGUAGGUGAACCUGCGGAAGGAUCAUUACCGAGCGCACGCCCCUCGGGGCGGAACCUCCCACCCGAUUACUAUUCCCGCGUUGUUUUGGCGAGCCGUCCCUUCGGCCACUAGUCUCGCGCUAGUGCGCGCUCGCCAAAAGUAAGAAACCCGUCUAAUGUAAAUUCCGAGUAUGAUUAAAGAAUCGUUAAAACUUUCAACAACGGAUCUCUUGGUUCUGGCAUCGAUGAAGAACGCAGC
rnacentral:misc_RNA from 1 species